GACGAACGCUGGCGGCAUGCCUAAUACAUGCAAGUCGAGCGAACGGAUGAAGUGCUUGCACUUCUGACGUUAGCGGCGAACGGGUGAGUAACACGUAAGGAAUCUACCUAUAAGCGGGGGAUAACAUUCGGAAACGGGUGCUAAUACCGCAUAAUAUCUUCUUCCGCAUGGAAGAAGAUUGAAAGACGGCUCUGCUGUCACUUAUAGAUGACCUUGCGGUGCAUUAGUUAGUUGGUGGGGUAAUUACCUACCAAGACGAUGAUGCAUAGCCGACCUGGGAGGGUGAUCGGCCACAUUGGGACUGAGACGUGGCCCAAACUCCUACGGGGGGCAGCAGUAGGGAAUCUUCCGCAAUGGGCGAAAGCCUGACGGAGCAAUGCCGCGUGAGUGAAGAAGGCCUUCGGGUCGUAAAACUCUGUUAUAAGAGAAGAACAAAUUGUAGAGUAACUGCUACAGUCUUGACGGUAUCUUAUCAGAAAGCCACGGCUAACUACGUGCCAGCCGCCGCGGUAA
rnacentral:rRNA from 1 species